CAGAUCUUUCCCUAGGGUUGGCGGGAAAAUGCUAAGUGUUGCAUGGAGCCUGAACGCAAAGUACAUAUUUUCUGGGAGUAGUGAUGGUAUAAUAAGAUGCUGGGAUACCUCCUCUUUUCAUGAGGUUCACCGUAUCACAGUUGGGCUUGGAGGCUUGGGUACUGAAUCUGAGCUCUGUGUCUGGUCUUUAUUGUUUUUAAGGUGUGGUACCCUUGUCAGCGG
rnacentral:misc_RNA from 1 species